rnacentral:rRNA from 1 species
UACGUAGGGGGCAAGCGUUGUCCGGAUUUAUUGGGCGUAAAGAGCGUGUAGGCGGUUUGGUAGGUCCGCUGUGAAAACUCGAGGCUCAACCUCGAGACGCCGGUGGAAACCAUCAGACUAGAGUCCGGAAGAGGAGAGUGGAAUUCCUGGUGUAGCGGUGAAAUGCGCAGAUAUCAGGAAGAACACCCGUGGCGAAAGCGGCUCUCUAGGACGGUACUGACGCUGAGACGCGAAAGCGUGGGGAGCAAACAGG